UAGCCAUCUUUUCCACACAAAAACUUUGAAGAAUCUAUAAUUUCUUACUUCAAAGUUCUUCUUUCUCUUCCUAUGUAUUCUAGUUUUAUAUUUCUUAUUCAAGUUUCAAUUUUCUUUUGUUUAAGAAAAAUAUUUUCAUAUUUCUUACUCAAAAAUAUUAUGCUCAUGAUAGAUCAUUCAUGUUUAAAUUCAUGAUUAAGUUCAUGUGGUAGAUUGCUUGUUGGUUGGCUAUGAGAAAGCUCAAGUAUAAGAAUAAGUGAAGAUACUAGUAUUAGUUUGUGCAAGAUCAAGAUUUGCAGGUGAAUUUUGGAUGUGCAUGGGAGCAUACUAGGAAGGGGAUCUUCACCUAGAUUAGAGUGUUUCAUUUAUUUUGAGUAUUGAGACAAUAUUUACUUUUAUUAAUAAAGAAGUAUUAUUAUUUUUGGUUAAAGUCUUCCGCUGCAAGUUAUUUUGGUUAGUUAGUAGUUGGUUGCCGAAAGCGUGUUAGUCACGUGGCGGUAAUACUCCUAAAUUACUCAAAUAUUAUUUAUUAAAUUAUUUAUUUAAAAGUGAGUAAUUUGGGGGUGUUACAAAGUGGUAUCAGUUUUUCAGGUCUUGAAAAAAUAAAAGUUGAAUAUUAAAAUUGAUGGGUAGACAUAGGAUGGGUAGAUAAGAGUUUCGCAUUUGCAUUCUAAAUUGUUUUUGUUAAGCUUAAUUGUUUUCUUUUGACGAUUUGUAUAGAUGCAUCUUGCUAGUACCACAAAAAGGUAUAUAUAUAUUUAUAUUAUUAUUUUUAUUUUGAAAGAUGAAGGGUGUAGAUAUGUUGGGGUGACAAGCUCUGUCUAGGAUUAGGAAGGCUCUCCCCGACGCUGUGGGUAACUUCCUUACCUGGGAGCUAUAAUCACCUUGGCUAUUCUAUAUCUUGAAAUCAAGUACACUUUAAAAUUUUUGAAAUAAAUAUUUUAAGCCAUAGUGGUGCAUCUAGUACAAAUCUUAAACUAUAUAUAUUUAGUUAUCAUAUAUUAGUAUUACUUUUAUGAUGA